GACCAAACGUGGGCCUCCAGACACUUAGAGAUUGCAGACUGAGGAAGGAGGAGAAGGGGCUUUCCAGAGCUUGGAGCACAGGGCAACUUACAGGGCCCAGGAAGUGGAGGUUCUUUAUCCCUCUGUGGUCCUGAGCACUCACCUCCAGCCACAAGCCAGUGCACUCAGCCAGCAGAGACCUGCAUUGGGUGUCUCCAAGUGUGAACCGUGACCGUUUGGUGGACUAUGAAAUCAUUUACUGGAUCAUCACUGAAUAAAAAGAAAUGAAACCAAAUAGAAUCAAAAAUCCAGAAUUCAUUACAGGUGGUAAGGUUAAGUAUUGUUAUAUCAAACCUUUUGUUAUAUGUAUAGAUAUAUGUGCACACACACAAACAUAAUAUAUGUAUGUGUAUGUAUUCCAGUUUACAAUGAAAAAUGUAUUUGUUAACUGCAAUUUGCAGGACAAAAUAUUUGAGAAACACUGCACUACAAGUUAAAUAAAUUCACCCUUCUUAGAAAGCAGUGAAGCAACCAUCAGUUGUUACUUAAGAAGAUCUUGGAAGGUCUCAUGUACCCACUCAAUCCACUUGUCAAAGUAUUCACCCCCCAAAAUAGCCCUCUUUGAAGGUGGGAACAGGGUGGUGGUAGUGAUCUGAGAGUCUGGCUGCAUGGCAUAUGAGCAGUUUAUAUGGUUAAUAGUUAGUGGGCAUGCCCACAUGCUGGGUAGACAUGGGACAUCACAGGAUGGUGACUCCUCCAGGGCAGGACUCCCUUCUCCCGCCUCAUGAGGGUGGAAACCAGGCUGCCCCUGGAACAGGAGGUCUCCCUCUGCCUUGGAGGCUCCAUGGGCAGCCGCUUGGUGUCACAAGAUGCAUCCAGGACUGGGCAUCAGAGGUUCAGACCCCAGUCCUGAUGCUACUCGUAGGUUGGGCAAUCUGGAUAAAGGCUGACAAUCUGCCUCAAUUCACCUAGAGACACAAAACUACUUCUGUAAAACCAGGAUGUUGAUGAAGAGUUCUGUUGUCCUCACAGUGGAGCUGAGAAGGCCGAAUAGUGGAAGAAGCAAACAAGUUUUGUAAAGUGAGAGAGAAAUAUCAGAUGCUGUCUUUCACAAAGCCCAUGGGUUUGUCUUUCCCUGCCCAUGGGUUCCCAGAGCCCCUCAUUCUGCCCUUCCUAGAACCAUACUCCUAGAGCUGCCUAUGGAGAAGUUGGCCCAGGCUGGAGGUCAGAGCCCCAGGCAGCCUCCAGAGGGGCCAAGGGUAGGUAUGAAGUCAGCAAGGAGCCCUGGGAAAUAGCCCUUCAGAGGCAGCUGGCUGCCCAAGCCUCCAUCCAACCUGUAAGUCGUGGGUAGGGACAGCCCCAAGAGGGAGGGCAGGAACACCAGAAGCAGUGUCUACUAGUCCUCAGCCUUGAGUUACACAUUCAGAUGCCCAACACUGCUAUGAUACUGACUUAAUUCUCACCAUGACAAGUCCUGGCUGGCCUCACAUUUGCUGUUAGACACAGCUCAACCUAUAAUGCAGGGAAGGUACUGGUUUGCAAGGAAAAGACUGUACCCAUUCAGUGCUGUCCCUCACCAUGCCUAGGGGCUUCCUCAGUGAUCUUCUUGGGAAGAGGACUAUUUCUGACCCACUCUGCACUCAUCUCAACCCUGCCCACAGAGUCUAGUACAUAGCAGUAGCUUAAUAAUGAUUUGGCUGGGUGUGGUGGCUCACGCCUGUAAUCCCAGUGCUUUGGAAGGCCAAGGCAGGAGGAUUGCUUGAGGCCAGGAGUUUGAGACCAGCCUGGGAAACAUAGCAAGACCCCAUCUCUACAAAAAAUUUUAAAAAUGAGCUAGGCAUGAUGGUGUGCACCUAUGGUCUCAGCUACUCAGGAAGCUGAGGCGGGAGGAUCACUAGAGCCCAGGCAUUUGAGGCUGCAGUGAGCCGUGAUUGUGCCACUGCACUCCAGCCUGGGUAACAGAGUGACAUCUGUCUUUAAUGAUGAUGAUGAUGAUGAUAAUAAUAAUAAUAACAAUUUAUUGAACCCAUGGAUGAAUGAUUUGGGUGGUGAGGAAGUAGUUUCCCCAAUAGACUCUCAACAAUCUUAGGAAUUUGCAACCUUCUUCGAGUUGAAGGAGAUGGGGGUACAAAGAUGAUGAACGUCAGGGUGAUGCAGUGGCCUGAUCAGGGCACUCAGGGAGCUCAGGGUAGGAAAUGUUUUCGAACCAGAAAGAAAUUAUUUCAGUAUAUUUAUAACCUGUCCUGUUACAUUGUUGCAAAGGGGGUUGAAGGAUAUCCCUGACUGUAAGGCAUCUGCUGGAAAUUCCCACCUUUAACUGAAGGUCUCAGGAUCACUCAAUUCAGGCCACAACUGCACAUCUCCAGAAUGCAGCUCAGUCUCCUACCACCUACAUACAGAGCCCUCUCCUCUUCCAGCCCCAGGAUUCCCUGGUCCCUACAGCAUGUGAGACACCAGGAUGGCGCCAGGAGAGAAGCACUGGGCUGAACAGAAGCUGAGAAGAGGUUCAGGCCUGUGCACAGUAAAGGGAUGAUGGUGGUGGGUGGGGUGGUCAUGCCCCCAAUUCUGCCACUAUCUCAGGGUAGGUCAGGCAUCCACCUCUCAGGAACCAAGAACCAUCAUCCUCCUCCCUUCUCCAAUAUUCAUUUCAGAGGUCAAACAGUUUGUCAUUUAGGUCUUCAAACACAAAGGUUCUCAUUAUUACCCGCUUUCCCUGGCCACCUGCCCUGCACUCUCCUCAAGUGUUAUUAUAUAUGAUAUAAUUAUCAGUAUGGCUGGAUUUAAGUCUUUUAUCUUGCUAUUUGUUUUCCAUUGUAACCAGCUAUUCUUUCUUCCUUUUUUCCUCUUUUCCUGAUGUAUUAGUUUGUUCUCACACUGCGAAUAAAGACAUAACCAGGACUGGGUAAUAUAUAAAGGAAAGAGGUUUCAUUGACUCACAGUUCAGCAUGUCUGGGGAGGCCUUACAAUCAUGGCAGAAAGCAAAGGGGAAGCAAGACACGUCUUACAUGGCAGCAGGCAAGAGAAAGCUUGUACAGGGGAACUCCCCUUUGUAAAACCAUCAGAUCUCAUGAGACUUAUUCACUAGCGCAAGAACAGCACAGGAAAAACCCAAGCCCAUGAUUCAGUUACUUCCCACCGGGCCCCUCCCGUGGCACGUGGGAAUUAUGGGAGCUACAAUUCAAGAUGAGAUUUGGGUGAGGACACAGCCAAACCAUAUUACCUGACUUUUUUUCUCUUGGUUGGUGAAUACGUUUUUUGAAAUUGAGGUGAAUUUAAAGUAAUAUUUCAGUAGCAUUUAUUACAUUCACAAGGUUGUACAACCAUUGCCUCUAUCUAGCUUCAAAACACUUUUAUCACUCCAAAAGGAAACCUCAUAUUCAUUAAGCAGUUGCUCCUCAUUUUCCCUUCAAACCCUACCAUCCCCAGCCCAUAGCAACCACCAACUUACAUUCUGUCUAUGAAUUUACCUGUUCUGGAUAUUUCAUGUAAAUGGAAACAUACAACAUAUAGCAUUUUGUGUCUGGCUACUUUCACUUAGCAUAACGUUUUUGAGAUUCAUCCACAUUGUAGCAGCUGUCAGUACUUCAUUACUUUUUAUGGCUCAAUAAUAUUCCACUGUAUCCAUAUACCACAAUUUAUCCAUUCACCAGUUGAUAAACAUUUGAGCUGUCUUCACCUUUUGGCUACUGGGAAUAGUGCCACUGUGAACAUGGUAUGCACAUGUAUUUAUUUGAGGAUGUGUUUUCAAUUCUUUUGGAUAUAUACCUAGCUCUAGAAUUGCUGGGUCAUAUUGUAAUUCUAUAAUUAACUUUUUCAAAGACCUUCGAACUGUUUUCCAGAGGUUGAACCAUUUUACGUUCCCACCAGCAAUCUAAAGGGUUCCAAUUUCUUCACAUCUUCACCAACACUUAUUUUCCUUCCCCCACCCCUAAUUAUAGCCAUCCUAGUGGGUGUAAAGGGGUACCUCAUUGAGGUUUUUAUUUACAUUUACCUAAUGACUAACUACUAAUGAUGUUGAAUACCUUUUCAUGUGCUUGUUGGUGAUUUAUAUCUUGUUUGGAGAAAUGUCUGUUCAAGUCUUUUGCCCCUUUAAAAAAAUAAACUAUUUGUCAUUUUAUUGUUGAAUGAUAAGAGAACUUUAUACAUUCUGGAUGCUAGAGUCUUAUGAGCUAUUUAAUUUGUAAGUAUUUUCUCUCAUUCUGUAUGCUGUCUUUUCACUUUCUUGAUAAUGUCCUUUGAAGCAGAAAAGUUUUGUAAUUUUUAUGAAGUCCAGUUUUGGUUUUACUUUUGUUGUUAUGCUUUUGACAUCAUAUAUAAGAAACUGUUGAUCUAUCCCUAGGUUUUCUCCUAAAAGUUUAUGGUCUUAGCUCAUGUCUUUUGGUUGUCAAUUCAUUUUGAGUAAAUGUCUGUAUAUGUUGAGAGGGAAAGAUCCAGACUCAUUCUUUUGCUUGUGGAUAUCUAGUUUGUCUCAUCACCAUUUAUUGAAGAGACUACUGUUUUCCUAAGACCAUUGAAUGAUCUUGGCACCCUCCUGACUUCCUUUUUGAUUUUUUUUUUUUUUUUGGUAUUCCACUUUGUCUUUACUGUUGGCUUAUUAAAAAGACCUCUUUGCUUUAUUUAUGUAUUUAUGUAUGUAUUUAUUUAUUUAUAGUGAUUGCUCUAGGUUUUACAACAUGCAUCUUUAAGUUUUCUUAGUCUACCUUUGUUAUAGUUUGAAUGUAUGUGUCCUUCCAAAAUUUAUGUUGGAACUUAAACCCCAAGGUGAUAGUAUUAAGAGGUGGAAACUUUGGGAGGUAAUUUGGAAGGGGAGAGCCCUCAUGGAUGGGAUUAGUGCCCUUAUAAAAGGGCUUAAGAGUUUUUUGUUGUUUGUUUUAACCCCCUUUUCCCUUCUACCAUGUGAGGUCAUAGUGUUUGUUCCUUUCCCUCUGGAGCAUGCAGCAACAAAAUGCCAUCUUGGAAGCAGAGCGUGAGCCCUCACCAGAUGCCAAAUCUGCUGAUUCCUUGAUCUUAGACUUCCCAGCCUCUAGAACUAAGAGAAAUGAACUUUUAUUAUUUAUGAAUGACCCAGUCUAUGGUAGAUUGCUAUGACAGCAGGAAGAGACUAAGACAACCUUCAGAUAACACUAUAUCAUUUAAUGCGCAAUGUAAGGAUUUUAUAAGAAUAUAGUUCUAUUUCUGUUUUUCUAUCCCUUUUGUUAUUAUUGUUAUAGGUUCUAUUUCUACAUGUUAUAAACCAUGUAAUAUACUGCUAUUAGUUUUGCCUUAGAUGGUC
rnacentral:lncRNA from 10 species